rnacentral:rRNA from 1 species
ACGGCUCAGUAACACGUGGACAACCUAACCUAUGGUGGGGGAUAACCCCGGGAAACUGGGGAUAAUACCCCAUAGACUAUGGAAGCUGGAAUGCUCUGUAGCCGAAAGGUCAGCCGCCGUAGGAUGGGUCUGCGGCCGAUUAGGUAGUUGUUGGGGUAACGGCCCAACAAGCCGGUAAUCGGUACAGGUUGUGGGAGCAAGAGCCCGGAGAUGGAUUCUGAGACACGAAUCCAGGCCCUACGGGGCGCAGCAGGCGCGAAAACUUUACAAUGCGGGAAACCGUGAUAAGGGAACUCCGAGUGCCCGUUAAAUCGGGCUGUCCACCAGUUUAAAUAACUGGUGAAGAAAGGGCCGGGCAAGACCGGUGCCAGCCGCCGCGGUAAUACCGGCGGCUCGAGUGGUGGCCACUAUUACUGGGCUUAAAGCGUUCGUAGCUGGUUUGUUAAGUCUCUGGGGAAAUCUUCCGGCUUAACCGGAAGGCGUCUCAGGGAUACUGGCAGACUAGGGACCGGAAGAGGUGAGGGGUACUCCAGGGGUAGGAGUGAAAUCCUGUAAUCCUUGGGGGACCACCUGUGGCGAAGGCGCCUCACCAGGACGGCACCGACAGUGAGGGGCGAAAGCUGGGGGAGCAAACCGGAUUAGAUACCCGGGUAGUCCCAGCCGUAAACGAUGUGCGUUAGGUGUAUCGGUGACCACGAGUCACCGAGGUGCCGAAGAGAAAUCGUGAAACGUACCGCCUGGG